GAGCUCCCUCCGCCCGCACAGAUACUGAAACUGGAAUGAUACAGAAAGCACUAGCGCGGCCCCUGCGCAAGGAUGACGCGAAAAUUUGUGAAGCCUUCCGUAUUUUC
rnacentral:snRNA from 1 species